UACGUAGGGGGCAAGCGUUGUCCGGAAUCAUUGGGCGUAAAGGGCGCGUAGGUGGCCCGGUCAGUCAGUGGUGAAAGCGCGGGGCUCAACUCCGCGUCGGCCAUUGAUACUGCGGGGCUGGAGCACUGUAGAGGCAGGCGGAAUUCCGGGUGUAGCGGUGGAAUGCGUAGAGAUCCGGAAGAACACCGGUGGCGAAGGCGGCCUGCUGGGCAGUUGCUGACACUGAGGCGCGACAGCGUGGGGAGCAAACAGG
rnacentral:rRNA from 1 species